AUUCAAGAGGCGCAUCCAUUAAAACAAGGAUUGAAAC
rnacentral:other from 1 species